ensembl:lncRNA
AUGAUUCAUUGGAACUUAUGCCUCAAGUACCACCUCCCUGCAGUAAAGAACUGGUGGGAUCACAAACCUGCAAAAGUAUUGGAAAAUGAGCACGCAAAGAUACUGUGGGACUUCCGAAUCCAGACUGACAAAGUUCUGGAACACAACACACCAGACAUCACAGUUGUGGAAAAGAAAAAGGUUUGGAUCAUUGAUGUCGCCAUCCCAGGUGACAGUCACAUUGACAAAAAACAACAGGAAAAACUCAGCCGCUAUCAGGACCUCAAGAUUGAACUUCAAAGACUCUGGCAGAAACCAGUACAGUUGGCAGAUCGUAAUUUUGUCAAUGUCUAUUGUUUCCAAAUGCCGGCUGAGAUCUUUUGGCACGGCACCCAGUGUGCCCAUCACCACCGGGACCACCUGCACUGGUUUCUGCCAGAGUCUUUGAAGUUCAAUCUUGAGGUCCUGAUAGCGGCUGAUUUUUUCCUGUUGUUUUUCAUCAAUGGGACUGUCACCUGGGAUGGCAACAUCAAUGAUCCAAACCUUGUUCUUUUCCACAACUGUGAUGUCUGGUGUGUUGUGUUCCAGAACUUUGUCAGUCUGGAUUCGGAAGUCCCACAGUAUCUUUAUUAUUAUUAUUAUUAUUAUUAUUAUUAUUAUUAUUAUUAUUAUUAUUAUUAUUAUUAUUAUUAUUAUUAUUAUUAUUAUAGACGCAACCAUCAAUGGCCACUAAUUUUAGAGAAUUGUUUUAGGACAUAAAACUGAUAUCAGGUUCAUUUAUAUCUAUGUUACUAUAUAAAUAAUAUGUGAAAUAAAUGUAAUCUCAUCAACUUAAUCCAUGCAGAGAUUUUAGAAGUGGAAAAUGUUUCUCCAAAUGAUUUCAGGGUUAAACUUGGGGAACAUACUAAGAAAAUUUAGAAACAUUUUCAUGAUAAAGCUUUUAAGAGUCAUACAUAUAUAUCACAAAGCUGUUUUAUUUUCUUAAACAUAUUAUUUGCACAACCUCUAUGCUUUGGUUUGCCUGAGCAGAUAUAACAAUUAACAAAAGUUUCCUUUGCCUAGUAUACAUUAAAAGAUCAAUAUACUGUUAUCCUUAUGCUAAAUAUCCCAAAGAGCUUUGCAAUAUAAUCAGUUAUAUUGAAUAUUAAGGCAAAAAGCCCACACACAUGCACACAGCUGUUAAUCAUAUGCAGAACUGCUCACCAGAAAGAAAAGACAAAGGAAUAUUUUCUUUUGUCUGAAUGUCUGAAAAAUUUCCUUCAGUUCAUAAACAUCUGUCCUGUUGAGUAUUAAAUCUACAAAGGGAUUUCUCAUAUGAAAUGAUUGUCCAAUACAAUAAAGCACAAAUCCCUUGCCAAGUACAUAUGCCAUUUACUCUUUGAUCCAUUCCCUAUGUUUAACUGUUCUUCCUCAGGCAUUCUUUUAUUCUCAUCCUGUGAGUAUACAACCAUUAAACAGUAAUCCUGAUUUCAUUCUUUCAUAAAACUGUGCAUCAGGAGGCAAGAUAUGGAUUUCUGUUGUCUUCAGACUGGGACUUCUUCAAAACUUUCCAUUUGAUCCAUUCCCUAUUUGUGUGCGUGCCUACUAAUCAACUGUUGACGUAUAGUAGCCCUAUCAAUUUCACUGAGUUUUCUUAGACAAGGUAUAUUCAGAGUGAUUUUUGUCAGUUUCUUCCUCUUAAAUAUAGUCUACACAGCAGUUGAUAUGCAUUGGUGGUCUCCCUAUCAAGUACUACCUAGAACUGACUCUGAUUAGCUCCUGUGAUAAUAUGGGAUCUGCUACCUUUAGAGCAGAGUUUCUCAAACUGUGCUCCUCCAAAUUUUUGGGGCUUCAGCUCCCACAAUUCCUAACAGCUGGUAAGCUGACUGGGAUUUCUGGGAGCUAAAGUCCAAAACACCUGGAGGACCACAGUUUGAGAAACACUGCUUUAAAGUAUCCAGACCCUUCAUUGUUUUACCUACACCUAGUCCUAAUUUCUUACUUUUUUAGUGACCUAUUAAAUUAUUUAUUUAUUUAUUUGUUUGUUUCCAUUAUUUCUAUCCCGCUCUUCUCACCUGAAGGGACUCAGGGCAGCUUACAAAACUGGCAGAAUUCAAUGCCAAUACACAACAAUACAAAAGAAUAAAACAUAAGCAAUUAAAUACAGAUUUAAAAUAAUACAAAAUACUUGAGCCAUUCAUCCACAAAACAUUGUAGAUAAACCUUAGUCUAGACCAAGUCGAAGCCAACGAAACAUAUUCUUUGAAUGCUUGCUCACAUAGCCAGGUCUACACAGGUCACAUAGCCAGGUCUACUACAAGUUUUAGCUGUGCGAAGGCUCCCCUAGCCACUGCCGAGACCUGGGGUUCCAGGCUCAAUGAUGAGUCUAGGAUCACCCCCAGACUGCAAACCUGCGCUUUCAGGGGGAGGGUGACCCCAUCCAGCACAGGCUGUAACCCUAUACCCUGUUCGGCCUUCCGACUGACCAGGAGGACCUCUGUCUUGUCUGGAUUCAGUUUCAAUUUGUUGGCCCCUCAUCCAGUCCGACACAGCUGCCCAACACUGGUUCAGGACCUAGACAGCCUCAUUAGUGAUAGGUGGGAAGGAGUGACAGGGUUGGACAUCAUCUGCAUAGAGAUAACACCGCACUCCGAAACUCCUGAUGAUCUUUCCUGUAAAUGUUAAACAACAUGGGGGACAAUAUAGAGCCCUGUGGGAGCCCACAAACAAUGGUUGUGGGGCCGAGCAGGAGUCCCCCAGUGACACCAUCUGGGACCGACCCUCCAGGAAUGAAUGGAGCCACUGCAAAGCAGUACCUCCAAGUCCCAUCCUCGCAAGGCGUCCCAGAAGGAUACCAUGGUCAACAGUAUCGAAGGCCGCUGUGAGGUCCAGCAGAACCAGCAGGGACACACUCCCCCUGUCUAGCUCCUGGUGAAGAUCAUUGACAAAGGCGACCAAGGCUGUCUCAGUACCAUGCCCCGGCCUAAAGCCAGACUGCGCCGGAUCUAGAAAAUCAGUGUCCUUCAAGAAUGCCUGGAGUUGUGAGGCAACCACACAUUCCACUACCUUGCCCAGAAAGGGGAGAUUGGAAAUAGGCCAAAAGUUACCGAAUUGAGUGUGGUCCAGUGAUGGCUUCUUCAACAGCGGUUUGAUCACAGCCAUUUUUAGGCUCGCUGGAAACUUGCCCUCCUGGAGGGAGGCAUUCACCACCACCUUCACCCACUCGGCCAAACUCCCUCUGGCUUCCCUCACCAGCCAGGAUGGGCAGGGGUCUAGGAUGCAUGUGGUUGGUCUUAUAUAUUGAAGUUAUAAUUUACUUCUACUCACAGGGCAUAUGAUGAGUUUACAAUACAUAUGAUGAUUAGCAUAUAACUCAAGUUUUGAUUAUUGCAAUGGAUUCAUGUGAGUAACAUGCUUUCUUACAGAGUAUGCCAAGAACACAAAAUACAACAAAUUCCUCAAUUCUCUUGCAGAAAAUUUUAUUUUCCUGAAGGUGGAAGAGGCAACAAGGGGAUCAGCUAUUCUGGAUUUGAUCCUAACUAACACUCAUAAAUGGAGUGGAAGUGGUGAGAUUCUUAGCUGGGAGUGAUCAUGUUCUCUUGGAGUUUAUUAUAAAGAGGAAGGAAAGAAAUAACUAAGAGUAGUCAGACAUGCAUUCUACACUUUAGGACAUUUGAUUUCAGGAAAUUUAAGGAAAUACUGAAUGUGAUUCCAUGGAUGGGAAUACUGAGAAUUAAUGAUGAAUGAGAGUUUCUUAAAAGUGAGAUACUAAAGGCACAAAUGCAAACAGUUCCAUCAAGGAAGAAAACAAUAAGAGAAGUCUAAGGAAACCAGAAUAGAUGUCCAAAAACUUUCAACUGAGCUAAGAUUUAAAAGGUACAUGUACAAGAAAUAGAAACAGGGGUAAAUCACCAAGGAAGAAUUUCAGACAAAUAACCAACAUAUGUAGGAAACAGUCCGAAAGGCUAAAGCAAAAAGUGAACUCAAGCUUGCCAGAGAGAGUACAAAUAAUAAAAGGGUUUUUUUUUGGUUAUGUCAUCAGAAGAAGGAAGAACAAGGAAAUGGCAGAGCCUCUGUGGGAGAAAGUGGUGAAAUGCUAACAGGGGAUAGGGAAAAGGCCACAGUCUUCUCCCAAAAAGAACCUGAAAAGUAUGGAGAUGAUGAGGUAAUAUGAGAAAUGCAAUCCAAAAUAGGUAAAGAAAUAGUCAAGGAAUACUUGGCUAUUGUAAAUUAAAUUAGAUCUCCAGGGCCAGAUGAGCUACAUCCAAGAGUAUUGAAGGAACUAGCAGAAGUAAUUUCAGAACCACUGGCAAUAAUCUUUGAGAAUUCUUGGAGAACAGGAGAAGUUGCAGCAGACUGGAGGAGGGCAAAUGUUGUCCCAAUCUUCAAGAAGGAGGAAAAAAAGAACCCAAACAAUUACCAUCCAGUCAGCCUGACAUCAAUAUCAGGAAAAGUUCUGGAGCAAAUAAUUAAGGAGCAGGUCAUUAAACACUUGGAAAAGAAUGCUAUGAUCACUAAAAGUCAGCACAGGUUGACACAUGUGAAAGGGAUCUUGAAGUCUUAGUAGAUCACAAGUUGAACAUGAGCCAACAAUGUGCUGCAGCAGGUAAAAAGCCAAUGGGAUGUGGGGCUUUGUCAAAAGGAGUAGUGUCUACUAGAUGAAGCAAAGUAAUGGUGCUACUUUAUUCUCCUUUGGUCAGACUUCACCUGGAAUACUGUGUAGAAUAAUGUCCAAUGUCCAAUUUUAGGCAUUAUAUUGAUCAGCUGGAACAUGUCCACAGGAGGUGACUAAAAUUAUCAAAAGUCUGAAAACCAUGCCCUAUGAGGAGCGGCUUAGAGAGCUACUGUGUUUACCCAAAAAUAAGACACUGUCUUAUAUUUAUUUUUCCUCAAGAAGACACACUAUGGCUUAUUUUCAGGGGAUUUUUAUUUUUAUUAAGUAUGAUACAACAAUCUGCAUUUAUGGGACGAUUUUUCUGGGCUCAGUAGCAGACUGCUUGCUGAAGCUUUCCCCCUAUCCCUUGGUGUUUGUUGGGGUGAGAGAGACCCACAGACCAUUGCUGGUCAGUGCUGGGGAGCAACAGCUUUACUGGUGUUUGUGGGGGGUGAGAGAGACCCACAGACUGUUGCUGGUUGCUGCAUAGCCACAUCUAUCACUAUGUCUUAUUUUCAGGGUAUGGCUUAAAUUUCGCAAUGCUUAGAAAUCCUGCUAUGCCUUAUUUUAUGGGUAUGUCUUAUUUUCAGAGAAACAGGGUAGGUAUGUUUAGCUUUCAGAAGAGAAGACAUGAUAGCCAUGUUUAAAUAUUUGAAAGAAUGUUGUAAGGAAGAGGGAGCAGGGUUUUAACCUGCAUUUUUGCCUUUUCUUAUUUAUUGAUUGCCCUUGCUCCUCUCCUGUGUACCUAAUGAUGUUCCUUACCAUUCUUAUAUUCCUGCCUAUGUCCAUCAUCCAUCUGUCUUCUCGUUAAUACUGCUUAUAACUUUUUUUGUUUUCUUCACAUUCUUGUGCACUGUGAAACUUCUCUGUCUUUACCUGGAUUCAUUUGCAAUUAAUCUUCUUUUAGAACUGCAGAACAAAAAGAUUUCUGUUUCUCUGUCCCCUUCUGAUAUGAAAAAAUCAGAAUCACUCCAGGGGUAGAAAAAAGGUGCUUCCCAACCACUUGGAAAAUAUAUCAUUUCAUUUGAAAACUGAACAUACUUUUUCUGUAAGAUAAAGGAAAAGUAUUUCAUAGAAUGAGAAGUAACCUACCUCC